UACGUAGGUGGCUAGCGUUGUCCGGAUUUAUUGGGCGUAAAGAGCUCGUAGGCGGCUUGUCGCGUCGGCUGUGAAAUCCCGUGGCUCAACUGCGGGUCUGCAGCCGAUACGGGCAGGCUAGAGUUCGGUAGGGGAGACUGGAAUUCCUGGUGUAGCGGUGAAAUGCGCAGAUAUCAGGAGGAACACCGAUGGCGAAGGCAGGUCUCUGGGCCGAUACUGACGCUGAGGAGCGAAAGCGUGGGGAGCGAACAGG
rnacentral:rRNA from 1 species